rnacentral:misc_RNA from 1 species
UAGACAAGUGUAUAGUCAAGUAUUUGAAAUUAAUGUUAAUAGAUUUUCAGUUCUGUUUCAAAAGUGUAUUCAUACAUUUGCUCUACGGUAAAGAAGUAUUUCAGUUUAUAUUAAUAUGUGUGAAAUUUCAUACCAGUUUGGCUCUCCUUGGUAAAUUUGUGAUAAUUUGCUGCUCUAUGUAAUAACUGAGCUCUUAUCAAUAGCUCAGAUACCUCAGGCUUGUGCUGUGCUUUUGACAAAUCUGUCUUUCUUUUCGCUUUCAGAAAUUUCAGUAAAUUGUUAAUAUGUUCAUUUAAUGUCUCCAUUGCUGGCAUGGAACAAUUAAAAAGGGAUGUAAUUUUC